rnacentral:rRNA from 1 species
GUGACCUCAAAUCAGGUAGGACUACCCGCUGAACUUAAGCAUAUCAAUAAGCGGAGGAAAAGAAACUAACAAGGAUUCCCCUAGUAACUGCGAGUGAAGCGGGAAAAGCUCAAAUUUAAAAUCUGGCAGUCUUUGGCUGUCCGAGUUGUAAUCUAGAGAAGUGUUAUCCGCGCUGGACCGUGUACAAGUCUCCUGGAAUGGAGCGUCAUAGAGGGUGAGAAUCCCGUCUUUGACACGGACUACCAGGGCUUUGUGAUGCGCUCUCAAAGAGUCGAGUUGUUUGGGAAUGCAGCUCAAAAUGGGUGGUAAAUUCCAUCUAAAGCUAAAUAUUGGCGAGAGACCGAUAGCGAACAAGUACCGUGAGGGAAAGAUGAAAAGAACUUUGGAAAGAGAGUUAAACAGUACGUGAAAUUGCUGAAAGGGAAACGCUUGAAGUCAGUCGCGUCGUCCAGGGAUCAACCUUGCUUUUGCUUGGUGCACUUUCUGGUUGACGGGUCAGCAUCAAUUUUGACCAUUGGAAAAAGAUCAAGGGAAUGUGACAUCUUUGGAUGUGUUAUAGCCCUUGGUUGCAUACGAUGGUUGGGAUUGAGGAACUCAGCACGCCGCAAGGCCGGGUUUUUAACCACGUACGUGCUUAGGAUGCUGGCAUAAUGGCUUUAAUCGACCCGUC